rnacentral:lncRNA from 1 species
GCAUGGAAUCGUCAUUCUCCUUAGCUUUUUUCGUUGAGGUAAGGUAUAAGGUAAGGCCUGCAAGUUCGUUCCUUGAAGUAUUUUCCUCUUAGUUUUAGCUCUUGGAUGAUAUAAUCCAUCUAAUCAAAAGGAAGGAAGGAUAGACAGUCCAGCAGGUGUAUAAGGAUGAAGUGAAGAUGAAGUAAGGAUGGCUUGGGCGCCUCUGGAAUUAUGAAAUCCUCUUCUAGGCAUGUUCCCGAUACUAUACUAGUGAAAGAAGUUCCUUGCCUUUUGUUUUGCUAGUGGGCUGGUGCAGACUUCCUUCUUUAUGCUCAUAGGCUUAACCAACC